UCAGCUUUGACACAGUAGGUAGCGUGUUAGUCUCACAAGCUGAAGGUCCUGAGUUUGAUCCUCUGAAGGAGGG
rnacentral:tRNA from 1 species